UGAUAUGCUUGGAUAACGGGUCCCCGAAUGUCGCAGCAAAAGCUUUUGUAUGAUUUCAAGAUGGGACCGAGGAGGAUAGAUAUGAUGGAACCAGAUCGGGUUUGCAAUCCUAACAAUUCUUUUGGGUUUUUGGCUGGUAUAUUAAAGGCUUCAGGAAAACGGGAGAACGUUCACUUAAACUCUACAAACAGUGAACCAAACACCAAGUAGAACAACUAAAGCGGAAUGGAAGCCAUGUUUUGGGAUAUGGAGAAAUAUAAUGUAAUCAGAGAUAGAGUAUUCGCAGUGAUAAAUCAUCUCUAAAUAAUGUAUAAGGCAUCAUAUCCCCCGGACAAUUCCAGCAGAACAACUCAUAUUGAAAUAGAGCCUGAUAACUUUAUUAAUUUUCCUACCAGGACAUCAAAGAAGCGGCUUGAUUUCUACUUAAAUAUUAAUUUCAAGAUUGCUUUUAAUCACAGUGAGCUGCAUUAUUUCUUUCUUUCUAGUGUCUGCUAUUCUUCUUUGCAAUAACGCAAGUGUUUGUAUGAAAUUCUUGUUUAUUGUUUUACCUUGUAAUCAACAUGCAUUUCAAAGAUUGAUAACAUGAAUUAAUUUUAUUCAUUUGAAAUGCUAAUCUAGCAACACAUAUUUUCAAAAUACGAGGUUUUAAUACAUAGAAUGAUCAAAGAGAAUUUAACAUUUGCAAAAAUAAAUCGUGUUGUAUAUUGGGCAAACAUUUAUUUAGAAAUUAAAACAGAAUUUCAAAUGUAACAUGAAGAGACUGUAUACAGUUCUUUUACAAGGCAUCAGGGAUUGGUACUCACAAAAUAUUCCUAAAUCGGAGAUAUCAAACGCGAUAAUGCCUAUCGCUAAUUUCAAACUUCUCCCCCUGGUGUACGAGAUGGGUUGUAACUGUAAAAUAUUUAUGUAUGCCUAUUUGUUCGAUAUUAAAGUUGACAACAUUUGA